rnacentral:misc_RNA from 1 species
GGAGUAAGAUUUUUUUAUUUAUAAAAAUAAAUAAUUUUUAUUAAUGCCUCUGGAUUUUCACAUUUCCUUGACAAAGUCACAAAGGAUCCCCACACAAUCCUGAAUUGUUCCCAUAAGAGUUGUUUUCAAAUUUAUUAAAUUGCUUCCCUGGAGGGGUAGGACCUGUAAGAUGGUUGCAGGACACAAUGAAAACAGCAAGGAAAGUAAGUAGCAUUAAUUGCUGAGGAAUCCUUCCUAAGAG